UAGGGAAUCUUCCACAAUGGACGCAAGUCUGAUGGAGCAACGCCGCGUGAGUGAAGAAGGCUUUCGGGUCGUAAAACUCUGUUGUUGGAGAAGAAUGGUCGGCAGAGUAACUGUUGUCGGCGUGACGGUAUCCAACCAGAAAGCCACGGCUAACUACGUGCCAGCAGCCGCGGUAAUACGUAGGUGGCAAGCGUUAUCCGGAUUUAUUGGGCGUAAAGCGAGCGCAGGCGGUUUUUUAAGUCUGAUGUGAAAGCCCUCGGCUUAACCGAGGAAGUGCAUCGGAAACUGGGAAACUUGAGUGCAGAAAAGGACAGUGGAACUCCAUGUGUAGCGGUGAAAUGCGUAGAUAUAUGGAAGAACACCAGUGGCGAAGGCGGCUGUCUGGUCUGUAACUGACGCUGAGGCUCGAAAGCAUGGGUAGCGAACA
rnacentral:rRNA from 1 species